rnacentral:rRNA from 1 species
UACGUAGGGUGCGAGCGUUGUCCGGAAUUAUUGGGCGUAAAGAGCUUGUAGGUGGCUCGUUGCGUCGGGAGUGAAAACCUGCGGCUUAACCGCAGGCCUGCUUCCGAUACGGGCGAGCUAGAGUUCGGCAGGGGAGACUGGAAUUCCUGGUGUAGCGGUGGAAUGCGCAGAUAUCAGGAGGAACACCGGUGGCGAAGGCGGGUCUCUGGGCCGAUACUGACACUGAGAGACGAAAGCUAGGGGAGCAAAUGGG